UCCGGCAGCCAUAUCACCCUGUAGCCCAAGACUGGUUGCCCACUGAAGCUAAGCAGGGCUGAGCAUGGUCAGUACCUGGAUGAGAGACCUCCUGGGAAAACUAGGUUGCUGCUAGAA
rnacentral:rRNA from 1 species